AUCCUCUCAGGCCUUUUGGCUAAGAUCAAGUGUAGUAUCUGUUCUUUAUAGUUUAACAACUAUAACUUGGUACAUAGUACCAUUUGUUGUUAAUCUAAUUUUUCUGCGCCCGGAAUCUAGAGCUCUGGCUUGCCAUCUCUAGAAUCCACAGGUGUCCUUUGCUUUACACUGUUGCAAUGUGACGCCGAGGGGGG
rfam:Phycomyces blakesleeanus NRRL 1555(-) unplaced genomic scaffold PHYBLscaffold_6, whole genome shotgun sequence.